rnacentral:rRNA from 1 species
CGGUUGAUCCUGCCGGAGGUCACUGCUAUCGGGGUUCGAUUAAGCCAUGCGAGUCGAGAGGGUUCGGCCCUCGGCGUACUGCUCAGUAACACGUGGAUAACCUGCCCUAGGGAAGGGGAUAACCCCGGGAAACUGGGGAUAAUACCCUAUAGAUUACAGAUGCUGGAAUGCCCUGUAAUCCAAAGUUCCGACGCCCUAGGAUGGAUCUGCGGCCGAUUAGGUUGUUGUUGGGGUAAUGGCCCAACAAGCCCGUAAUCGGUACGGGUUGUGGGAGCAAGAGCCCGGAGUUGGAUUCUGAGACACGAAUCCAGGCCCUACGGGGCGCAGCAGGCGCGAAAACUUUACAAUGCGGGCAACCGUGAUAAGGGAACCUCGAGUGCCUGUAAAUGCAGGCUGUUCAGGUGCCUAAAACACACCUGAAGAAAGGGCCGGGCAAGACCGGUGCCAGCCGCCGCGGUAAUACCGGCGGCUCGAGUGGUGGCCGCUUUUAUUGGGCUUAAAGCGUUCGUAGCUGGGUUGUUAAGUCUCUUGGGAAAUCUGGCGGCUUAACCGUCAGGCGUCUAAGGGAUACUGGCAAUCUUGGAACCGGGAGAGGUGAGGGGUACUUCGGGGGUAGGGUAGUACACAUUGAAGUAAUCGUAUUCACCGUCAGCGGCCGAGGUACCUCCUCUUGACCGAAUUUGCCAUAUCUCGCCAAACUUCCUUCGGCCGAAGCCUCGACUUACUAAUGCAGCGUAACUUAACUCAAAUACAUCAUCUUUAGUUAAACAACUGU